AAGCCAGAGACCAAGAGAGGAAGGUGAUCUGCCCAGAGUCAUAAAGAUGAGGACUCCAUAGUGCAGAAAAGGAAAUGCAUUUGUUCCACACAUUAUCCAGCAGCAUUCACAGAUCAAUGCAGCCGAGGGAAACGAAUAAACAACAACAAAACACUGAGAGAAAAAAAAAGAAGAUAUUGGGUCUCAUUGCCAAAUGUCCCAUUUUAGAUGAAACAAUCUCAGGAAAUCAGAACCAAAGGCGGGACUUUGUAAGUAACCUUCUAGGUGACAGAGGAAGUCAUACAGAGAGAACAAAGGAAAAGAAAGAAGAAAUGGAGGAAGAAAAAGAGGAAGAUGAGGACAUUCUCUUAGCCCCUCUCCCCCAUGCCAAACAUAUCAUUCAUUCAUUCAAAAAGCAUUGAGUAAACACCCACUGCAUGACUGGUUAAUGGUUGGUAUCCUUUGUUCUCAAAGAGAAUCAAAAUGGCAUCCCUAUGAUAGAGUCAAGCUACAGUGUGUCCAUCUAUGACUAAGCAGACCAAUACAAGCUCAGAAUGCUCUACCGCAGAUUGGGCACAAAUAGUCCACGU